CCCUCUGUGGUGCAAAUGGUUAACAUGUUCAGCUGCUAACCAAAAGGUUGGAGGUUCAAGCCCACCUAGAGGCA
rnacentral:tRNA from 1 species